rnacentral:tRNA from 1 species
AAAAUACUAGUAAAAAAAAUUAUACUUCGCUGUCAGCGAAGAGUUACAAGUGUGUAUUUUU